CCAGCUGCGUGCUGGGAGAACCACUGCUUUCUUCAAAGCUGUCAGACAGGGACAUUUAAGUCUGCAGAGGUUACUGCUGUCUUUUUGUUUGUCUGUGCCCUGCCCCCAGAGGUGGAGCCUAAAGAGGCAGGCAGGCCUCCUUGUGCUGUGGUGGGCUCCACCCAGUUGGAGCUUCCCAGCUGCUUUGUUUACCCAAGCAAGCCUGGGCAAUGGCGGGCACCCCUCCCCCAGCCUUGCUGCUGCCUUGCAGUUUGAUCUCAGACUGCUGUGCUAGCAAUCAGUGAGACUCCGUGGGCAUAGGACCCUCCAAGCCAUGUGCGGGAUAUAAUCUCCUGGUGCACCGUUUUUUAAGCCUGUCAGAAAAGCGCAGUAUUAAGGAAAGAAAGCCAUAAAUGGAUUCAGGAAAUCUAUUUGUCACAUCUCGUUUGAAGAAUGGUGAAGUAAAGGCAGUCCACUAAGAGUUUCAGCUUUCCCCUUUAACAUUGUAGGAAGGAUCAUCUAUGCAGCUUGAAAAUUGUUUUGUCGAGGUGUAUGACAUUUUCAUCUCCCAUCAUGUGAAAUCGCCUGCUUCUGCUUUGCUCUUUGCCAUGAUUGUAAGUUCCCUGAUUCCUCCCCAGAAGCUGAUACUGCUAUGCCUCUUGGACAGCCUGUGGAACCAUGAGCCAAUUAAACAUCUUUUCCUUAAAAAUUACUCAGUCUCAGGUAUUUCUUUUCAGCAG
rnacentral:lncRNA from 1 species